rnacentral:rRNA from 1 species
UGGGGAAUAUUGCACAAUGGGCGCAAGCCUGAUGCAGCCAUGCCGCGUGUGUGAAGAAGGCCUUCGGGUUGUAAAGCACUUUCAGCGGGGAGGAAGGCGAUAAGGUUAAUAACCUUGUCGAUUGACGUUACCCGCAGAAGAAGCACCGGCUAACUCCGUGCCAGCAGCCGCGGUAAUACGGAGGGUGCAAGCGUUAAUCGGAAUUACUGGGCGUAAAGCGCACGCAGGCGGUCUGUCAAGUCGGAUGUGAAAUCCCCGGGCUUAACCUGGGAACUGCAUUCGAAACUGGCAGGCUAGAGUCUUGUAGAGGGGGGUAGAAUUCCAGAUGUAGCGGUGAAAUGCGUAGAGAUCUGAAGGAAUACCGGUGGCGAAGGCGGCCCCCUGGACAAAGACUGACGCUCAGGUGCGAAAGCGUGGGGAGCAAACAGG